rnacentral:lncRNA from 1 species
CAUAUAUGGCUGUGCUUCCCCUGGGUGGAGCUGAGAGUAAGGGCUCUGGGAGGUAAGAGAGAGGGGCAUGUUGUCAGAGGUCUGGGCCUUUAAGGAAGCCUGGGUCCCAGGAAAGCAAAUUGGAAGAGAGGUUAGUGCAGUCGCUGAUUUAUAGGAAGUACUCAACAAUGAGCAAUAUUCAUUUACUGAGCACUUACUCUGAGCCAGCUUCUCCUCUAAGACUUUCCAGGUAACGACUCACAGAAUUCCCUUAACAACUCUAUGGGGUAGGUGCUACUAUUCUAUUAUUCCCAUUUUACAGAUGACGAAACUAAGGCACAGAGAGGUGAAGUACUUUGUUCAAGGUGGAAUCAACUGCUAAGUGGUGACACUGAUGUCAAAUCCAGGCAGUCUGAGUACAGAGCCAUCAUCUUUAACCAUCACGCCAUAUGGCCUCUCCGUAGGCUGCAAAUGGUAGCCAUUACUAGCUAUUAUCACUCCAAAAUCAUAUCGCAAACUUUAAGCAUAAGUUGGGACUCGUGUGCAUACUACAUUGGCCGUGGCAGGCAGACCCUUAUUCUUCCUGGGCUCCCCAGACCCGUCCCUCCCCUGUCUGCUGGGCUGAGCCCAUCUGCCUCUCAGGUAGCUUAGGCUGGAUGUCUGGCUCUCCAGGAAGUCACUGGCUGGCUGACUCAGGUCUCCUGUCCAUCCGGCUGAGUUUCCAUCAGAGGCGAGGUACCCUCUCUUGAUGUGGCCUGGGGUACUUAAUUACAGGCACUUAAGAUUCUAACCUGGUUUCCCUCUUUCCUCUUGGUUUGUGGUUCCUGUCUUGAUCGCAAAGUCGCUUUCUGUCCUUGGGGCCGUCCCAAGGAGGUUCUUCUAUCACACAUCCCCGCAGCCCACACCCUCUCCCUCCUAGGUCUCUGCAUUCCCUCCGCGAUGUGUUCACACACACGUGUUCUCCCAGGUCCAGAGUGAGAGCCGGGACGUCAGGUUCGGGGAGGAUGAGUGGGGUUCUCAGGGGGCCUGGUCAGCAGAGCCUCGAGGCCCCAGUUGCUCCGAGAGAGUUCUCCAGCAUCAGACGGUUACAUGGACCAAACUGGUGUUGGGCCCCAACCGUGGCUCACCACCCUGACCGGCUUCCUGGGAGGGCAGCUCAUUGUGCAGUGGGGGCUGAGUGGGGCUGGGGAGCAGCUUCAUCUGGGUGGUCCUGGAGCAGCUGUCCCUGGGGCACCCACCCUCACUGGAAGGGAGCCCCUGGAGGCCAGAGCCCACAUCACCUUUUUCACCAGCACAUCCCAGUGUGGAGCACAUCGCAGGGUGCCUCAGGCUGGGCUCUGGCCCAGGGAUUCCAGAAGUUCCCAGGGAUGUCACUAGGAUUGCCACUCAGUCAUUCUCUCACCCUCUCUCUGUUCUGCUUCCAUCUGUGAGGCAGCUUGUGUCCACUCUCUGGCCAAGGGGGCAGGUCCCAGGAUCGGCCGGCCCACUAGACCCGUGUGUUGUGGAGAAGGGUCACUUCAGCCUAGGAAGGGAUGCUGUGACUAGAGGAAGAGACCCAGGGCUGCUGAGGAGACAAAUACAACGGAUGUCACUACAAGCUCGCUCCCCAUGCCGGGGGCUUUACAUAUUUUAAUUUAUUUAACCCUCAUUACAAUCUGUGUGCUAGAGGUUAUCAUGCCCAUUUAUAAAUGAGGAAAUUGAGGCACAGAGGCAUUUAUCUAAGUUCACAUAACUUGAAGUGGCUCUGCUGAGAUUCAAACCCAGGUCCCCCUCAUUCUGAAACUCCAGGCUGCCUGGAGCUUCUCGGACAGACGCCCUGGGGCAGCAUAUUGACCAUGACUCCCCUUAAGCCCCCAAGUCCUCUAGGCAGUUCUGAGGGCAGAGAAUGGAGGCCAAUGGGCACCCGGCAGGAGGGAGGCCAGGUCUCACCAGGGCCAGGGGCAGGGCUGGAGGGAAUCAGUGGUUCGAUGAUGCUCAGGGCCUCGGAGCAGGCAAUGGUGGGUCGCUGCCCUUCCAGGCCCUGCACGGCCCUUGGGGCUGUUAGCCCGGGGAAUGGGCACCUCCCCUGGGUCCCUGGCAGGAAGCGAGCAGUGCCUGAGGCAGGAGGCAGGCAGGCAUGGCGCGGUCCCUGCCCAUCUGGGGAGUGCUCGGUGGCUGGCUGGAACUGAGCAGUGGACGGCGUUUGGACUCGGCAGCGGGAGCCCAGCUCGGAGGCUGCGAGGCAGAGCCGUGAACGCCAACAGUCUGGAGACAGGCUCCGGAGGGAGGUAGGCUUGGGCCCAUGUGCCGAGCUCGGCUCCCACGACUGCUCAGCAGACAGAUGGACCUGGGGAGCCUCGCUGCCUGGCCAGGAGGGUGUACACAAGAAUGGGAAUGUAGGCGCCCCCGUGGGGAGGCAUGGCUCCCGGAGACGGCCGGUGUGGUGAGACAAGGGCUGAUGCUGUGGCCUGGGCUGGCUUGUUAGAUGGCUGUGCAGGGCUCCACAGUUAGACUGACCUCUGGACCUUGGCUGUGUACGGCCCUGAUCCUGAUUCCAGGCUUUUCCUUGAUUCCAGCCUCACACUGAAUCCUGAUCCAGAACCCAGACUGAGCCCUGAUCCCAGGCCCUCACGGAGCCCUGAUCAUUUCAAAUGCCUUCUGAUCAAAAUCCUGCUCUCAGAAAGGAGGCCAGAGCCAACUGCCCAGGACAGUCCCCGGGAAGGAUGGGGUCCUGCCAAAACUGACCGUCUCUGGAAGGCAGAGGGGAGCAGAGCAGCAAGGACCAAGAGCACUGUGGAGUCUGGGGGUGGCAGCCUGACCAGGAUCAGGAGAGUUACCAGGAUGGUAGACCAGAGGGCACUUUCUCCAGGGCAGGUCCAAAACUCAGGCCUAGGGACAGAGCCUGAGUGCAUGGGCCCACAGGGCCGGGGGCGGCAGGAGGCACAGGUGGCUUCGCCGAGAAGCAGCAAAGGCAGGGUUUCUUGAGCCAGAGCUGGGCGGGGACAUCAAUGUUGGGGCAGUUUGACUGAUAGGUAGAACUGGGCCUGGAGAGGAACUCUCCACCUAGGCCCAGAGUCACCCUGGGCUUAGAAACUAGUGGAGCCCAAGUAAGACAGGCAGGCAGCGGCCGGGUGACAAGGUCGAGGCAGCCCAUGAGGGCCCUUCCUGUUCUUAAUACUCCAGUGUCACCUCACCUAGUCCCCGUCACGGCUCGGUGAGAUAUGGGGGCAGAUGCCCUAGAAGCCUGGGUCCCCAGUCUCCCCUCAGUCUUGACUCUGCCUAAGGGGUUCCUUUGGCCGCAGGAGUGUGCCGCCG